GAGAGGCUCAUCUCGUUGUUGGAGAAAAUGGCAUCUGGGUUCAGCAAGUUGUUCAUGAUGGAAGGAACCAAUUCUAGGAGCAGAACAGAAUCCGUCAUCUCACAGCAGAGCUCUGCCCCCCAGUUCCUGAGGAGGCACAAGUGGUACCCAUCACCUCCAAUGCAGCCUGUGGCAGAUAUGACAGCAGUGCCUCAAGACACAGAAGUUGGAAGGCCAAGUAACCACACGGGAGUGGGCUGACCUAAGGACUCGGCAUCGAUGAGGAAUGAACACUAGACGAGACAUCCAUAAGAACAGCUGACCAGGACCUCCAGACGCACUGAGCACACAGGGCAUGUGAGGUCUGUCUGGUUCUGGACUCCAGGGGGAACGUACAGGAGCGACCCAGGACAGUGAGGAGCUCAGAGUAGGCACAGGACAUCCCCUGACCACUGUCUUGUAUUUCCCCCGCCAGGCAGGGGCAUUUCUGGGUCUGUUCAGUAAUUUCGAAGAAGAACCAUUGUUUUGUUUUGUUUUUGUUUUUCCUUCCAAGUCUGGCCUGAGGAAACAUAAAUCUGGAGGAGCAAGGGAUCCCUACCAAGAAGCUGUCAAGGAUUUUGCAUCAUCUCCAGGGACACGCAAUCCAUGACAAACAGAAUUACUCAUCUAAAAAACUGCUAAUGCUCAUGACAUUUAUACUACUCCCACUAAAAGUUAAAAUUGUUCCUUAUUACUCUGUAAUAUCUGUAAUUCCCACUGCUCCAUAGAAAUCCAUCACACUUCCUCAAGUUCCAGAAACAAACCCACAUAUAACUGCAAUGAAAUAAGAUUAAAUAUAAUGAUUUGAUGACAACUUAAUCUUAAGGUAAGUCAUUUAAUAAAAACUAAACUUAACUGUUCAAGAGCAAAGAUACUUAGCUUCAAGGGGCAGAGCUUCUUAGAAGAAAACAGAGCCAAAGAUACCCAAAGAUG